CCCUUAGAUGUUCUGGGCUGCACGCGCGCUACACUGAUGCGCUCAACGAGUUUACGAACUUGUCCGGAAGGGUUGGUUAAUCUUUUUAAAACGCAUCGUGAUGGGGAUAGAUUAUUGCAAUUCUGAAUCUCCAACGAGGAAUUCCUAGUAAACGCAAGUCAUCAGCUUGCAUUGAUUACGUCCCUGCCCUUUGUACACACCGCCCGUCGCACCUACCGAUUGAACGGUCCGGUGAAAUCUUGGGAUUUGCUUUGCUUUCGUUUGUUCGAUGCUCGGCGAAGAACUUGAGUAAACCUUNCNGUUUAGNGGAAGGUGAANUCGUANCA
rnacentral:rRNA from 1 species